GGAACCUUUAAAUCCAGUCCAGUGAGGCUGGCAAGGGCACGGAAUUGACACGGCAGCAAGAUGGGCAAGCUUCAUGCUCCCUUCUGUUGUCAUGUCCAGUGGCUUCUUGUCUCCUGACAAGAAGCCUUUUUUCU
rfam:Brevibacillus choshinensis strain DSM 8552 scaffold3, whole genome shotgun sequence.